GAUGAAGAACGUAGUGAAAUGCGAUAAGUAGUGUGAAUUGCAGAAUUCAGUGAAUCAUCGAAUCUUUGAACGCACAUUGCGCCCUUUGGUAUUCCUUAGGGCAUGCCUGUUCGAGCGUCAUUUAAACCUUCAAGCUAAGCUUGGUGUUGGGUGACUGUCCGCUUCACUGCGGACUCGCCUCAAAAUUAUUGGCGGCCGGUACAUUGGCUUCGAGCGCAGCAGAAACGCGAACUCGGGCCCGUCGUAUUGGCUCCCAGAAGCUAUCUUCACAAUUUUGACCUCGGAUCAGGUAGGGAUACCCGCUGAACUUAAGCAUAUCAAUAAGCGGAGGA
rnacentral:misc_RNA from 1 species